GAUGAACGCUAGCGGCAGGCUUAAUACAUGCAAGUCGUGGGGCAGCAGCUUUAUAGCAAUAUAGAGGCUGGCGACCGGCAAACGGGUGCGGAACACGUACUGAACCUUCCUUUAAGUGGGGAAUAGCCCAGAGAAAUUUGGAUUAAUACCCCGUAACAUAUAAAAGUGGCAUCACUUUUAUAUUAAAGCUCCGGCGCUUAAAGAUGGCAGUGCGGCUGAUUAGGUAGUUGGCGGGGUAACGGCCCACCAAGCCUACGAUCAGUAACUGGUGUGAGAGCACGACCAGUCACACGGGCACCGAGACACGGGCCCGACUCCUACGGGAGGCAGCAGUAAGGAAUAUUGGUCAAUGGACGGAAGUCUGAACCAGCCAUGCCGCGUGGAGGAUGAAGGUCCUCUGGAUUGUAAACUUCUUUUAUCUGGGACGAAAAAGGGCUUUUCUAAGUCAACUGACAGUACCAGAUGAAUAAGCACCGGCUAACUCCGUGCCAGCCGCCGCCGUAAUAC
rnacentral:rRNA from 1 species